rnacentral:rRNA from 1 species
AACCGACGAUACCCGAAUGGGGAAACCCAGUGCAAUUCGUUGCACUAUUGCAUGGUGAAUACAUAGCCAUGCAAGGCGAACCGGGGGAACUGAAACAUCUAAGUACCCCGAGGAAAAGAAAUCAACCGAGAUUCCCCCAGUAGCGGCGAGCGAACGGGGAGGAGCCCAGAGUCUGAAUCAGUUUGUGUGUUAGUGGAAGCGUCUGGAAAGUCGCAGGGUACAGGGUGAUACUCCCGUACACAAAAACACACUUGCUGUGAACUCGAUGAGUAGGGCGGGACACGUGACAUCCUGUCUGAAUAUGGGGGGACCAUCCUCCAAGGCUAAAUACUCCUGACUGACCGAUAGUGAACCAGUACCGUGAGGGAAAGGCGAAAAGAACCCCGGCGAGGGGAGUGAAAUAGAACCUGAAACCGUGUACGUACAAGCAGUGGGAGCACCUUCGUGGUGUGACUGCGUACCUUUUGUAUAAUGGGUCAGCGACUUAUAUUUUGUAGCAAGGUUAACCGAAUAGGGGAGCCGUAGGGAAACCGAGUCUUAACUGGGCGUCUAGUUGCAAGGUAUAGACCCGAAACCCGGUGAUCUAGCCAUGGGCAGGUUGAAGGUUGGGUAACACUAACUGGAGGACCGAACCGACUAAUGUUGAAAAAUUAGCGGAUGACUUGUGGCUGGGGGUGAAAGGCCAAUCAAACCGGGAGAUAGCUGGUUCUCCCCGAAAGCUAUUUAGGUAGCGCCUCGUGAACUCAUCUUCGGGGGUAGAGCACUGUUUCGGCUAGGGGGCCAUCCCGGCUUACCAAACCGAUGCAAACUCCGAAUACCGAAGAAUGUUAUCACGGGAGACACACGGCGGGUGCUAACGUCCGUCGUGAAGAGGGAAACAACCCAGACCGCCAGCUAAGGUCCCAAAGUCAUGGUUAAGUGGGAAACGAUGUGGGAAGGCAUAGACAGCCAGGAUGUUGGCUUAGAAGCAGCCAUCAUUUAAAGAAAGCGUAAUAGCUCACUGGUCGAGUCGGCCUGCGCGGAAGAUGUAACGGGGCUAAACCAUGCACCGAAGCUGCGGCAGCGACGCUUAGGCGUUGUUGGGUAGGGGAGCGUUCUGUAAGCCGUUGAAGGUGACCUGUGAGGGUUGCUGGAGGUAUCAGAAGUGCGAAUGCUGACAUAAGUAACGAUAAUGCGGGUGAAAAACCCGCACGCCGGAAGACCAAGGGUUCCUGUCCAACGUUAAUCGGGGCAGGGUGAGUCGACCCCUAAGGCGAGGCUGAAAAGCGUAGUCGAUGGGAAACAGGUUAAUAUUCCUGUACUUGGUGUUACUGCGAAGGGGGGACGGAGAAGGCUAGGCUAGCCGGGCGACGGUUGUCCCGGUUUAAGCAUGUAGGCGGAGUGACUUGGUAAAUCCGGUUGCUUAUCAACGCUGAGGUGUGAUGACGAGUCACUACGGUGAUGAAGUAGUUGAUGCCAAGCUUCCAGGAAAAGCCUCUAAGCAUCAGGUAACAUUAAAUCGUACCCCAAACCGACACAGGUGGUCAGGUAGAGAAUACUCAGGCGCUUGAGAGAACUCGGGUGAAGGAACUAGGCAAAAUGGUGCCGUAACUUCGGGAGAAGGCACGCUGGCAUUAGGUAAAGAGACUUGCUCUCGGAGCUGAAGCCAGUCGCAGAUACCAGCUGGCUGCAACUGUUUAAUAAAAACACAGCACUGUGCAAACACGAAAGUGGACGUAUACGGUGUGACGCCUGCCCGGUGCUGGAAGGUUAAUUGAUGGGGUCAGCCGCAAGGCGAAGCUCUUGAUCGAAGCCCCAGUAAACGGCGGCCGUAACUAUAACGGUCCUAAGGUAGCGAAAUUCCUUGUCGGGUAAGUUCCGACCUGCACGAAUGGCGUAAUGAUGGCCAGGCUGUCUCCACCCGAGACUCAGUGAAAUUGAACUCGCUGUGAAGAUGCAGUGUACCCGCGGCAAGACGGAAAGACCCCGUGAACCUUUACUAUAGCUUGACACUGAACAUUGAGCCUUGAUGUGUAGGAUAGGUGGGAGGCAUCGAAGUGUGGACGCCAGUCUGCAUGGAGCCAACCUUGAAAUACCACCCUUUAAUGUUUGAUGUUCUAACUCGGCCCCGUAAUCCGGGGUGAGGACAGUGUCUGGUGGGUAGUUUGACUGGGGCGGUCUCCUCCCAAAGAGUAACGGAGGAGCACGAAGGUUAGCUAAUCACGGUCGGACAUCGUGAGGUUAGUGCAAAGGCAUAAGCUAGCUUGACUGCGAGAGUGACGGCUCGAGCAGGUACGAAAGUAGGUCUUAGUGAUCCGGUGGUUCUGAAUGGAAGGGCCAUCGCUCAACGGAUAAAAGGUACUCCGGGGAUAACAGGCUGAUACCGCCCAAGAGUUCAUAUCGACGGCGGUGUUUGGCACCUCGAUGUCGGCUCAUCACAUCCUGGGGCUGAAGUAGGUCCCAAGGGUAUGGCUGUUCGCCAUUUAAAGUGGUACGCGAGCUGGGUUUAGAACGUCGUGAGACAGUUCGGUCCCUAUCUGCCGUGGGCGUUGGAAGAUUGAGAGGGGCUGCUCCUAGUACGAGAGGACCGGAGUGGACGAAUCACUGGUGUUCGGGUUGUCAUGCCAAUGGCAUUGCCCGGUAGCUAAAUUCGGAAGAGAUAACCGCUGAAAGCAUCUAAGCGGGAAACUUGCCUCGAGAUGAGUCUUCCCUGGGGCUUUAAGCCCCCUGAAGGAACGUUAAAGACUAUGACGUUGAUAGGCUGGGUGUGUAAGUGCAGCGAUGCAUUGAGCUAACCAGUACUAAUGAUCCGUGAGGCUUAACCUUACAACACCAAAGGUGUUUUG